UUUUGCAGUUGCUGGAAAUGG
rnacentral:piRNA from 1 species